rnacentral:lncRNA from 1 species
GAUAAAAAGACUGCAUGAGACCCCUGGUGUGGUCAGUCAGCCCAGGAAACAUCUUUGAAAAAGAUGCCCCACCUCCCUACAGUGGUCUGUUGGUUGUUCUCCAAAUCAUUUACAGGCAGCAGAGUUCUGUGAAGUCACAGUGGACUUAAGCUUGGAGGAAGCAUGGUUGAAAGUCACAAUAGAGGAAAAUGAGAGAAUCUGAUUAGUCAAAUGUGCCUUUGGAAGAUAAAUGACGGUCAUUGAUCGUGUUAGGAGAUUCGAUUUCCGAGUGAUCCCCAAUGCUCAGAAGUGCGGCACAGAACGAACUCCAUUCCACAUCACAUCGCAGGCCAGCGGCUGAUCAGCUUUCAAACAAAAACAAACAAGGCUAAUCAGAAUAACUGCUGAAAAGGUCUGCCUACCAACACCCUAAGAAGGAUCCUGCAAAGAUAGUUUCACCAUUCCCCAGCAACCAUAUCAGGAAAAUUUCAAGAGUGAACUGGAGGAAGCCAGUUAACCAACCAUCUAAGUUGUUCAGGUGAUAAGUAAUGGUAUCUCGGACCAGGAUGGGAUGACAUAGAUGGAGACAAGUGGACAGAUUCAACAUAUUUGAGAGGCAGAAAAUCUGGGUUUGGUCAUCACUUGGUGGAAAGGCAAGUAAAGCUGAUGAUUUCCGGUUUUCUCACUUGCUUAACUG